rnacentral:rRNA from 1 species
UACAGAGGUGGCAAGCGUUGUUCGGAAUUACUGGGCGUAAAGGGCGAGUAGGUGGCCAUCUAAGUCAGACGUGAAAUCCCCCGGCUUAACCUGGGAACUGCGUCUGAUACUGGACGGCUUGAGUAUGGGAGAGGAACGUAGAAUUCCAGGUGUAGCGGUGAAAUGCGUAGAUAUCUGGAGGAACACCGGUGGCGAAGGCGGCAUCCUGGACCGACACUGACACUGAGGAGCGAAAGCCAGGGGAG